rnacentral:rRNA from 1 species
GACGAACGCUGGCGGCGUGCUUAACACAUGCAAGUCGAACGGAAAGGCCCUGCUUUUGUGGGGUGCUCGAGUGGCGAACGGGUGAGUAACACGUGAGUAACCUGCCCUUGACUUUGGGAUAACUUCAGGAAACUGGGGCUAAUACCGGAUAGGAGCUCCUGCUGCAUGGUGGGGGUUGGAAAGUUUCGGCGGUUGUGGAUGGACUCGCGGCUUAUCAGCUUGUUGGUGGGGUAGUGGCUUACCAAGGCUUUGACGGGUAGCCGGCCUGAGAGGGUGACCGGCCACAUUGGGACUGAGAUACGGCCCAGACUCCUACGGGAGGCAGCAGUGGGGAAUAUUGCACAAUGGGCGGAAGCCUGAUGCAGCAACGCCGCGUGCGGGAUGACGGCCUUCGGGUUGUAAACCGCUUUCGCCUGUGACGAAGCGUGAGUGACGGUAAUGGGUAAAGAAGCACCGGCUAACUACGUG